rnacentral:misc_RNA from 1 species
GAAUGAAGAACGCAGCGAAAUGCGAUAAGUAGUGUGAAUUGCAGAAUUCAGUGAAUCAUCGAAUCUUUGAACGCACAUUGCGCCCCUUGGUAUCCCGAGGGGCAUGCCUGUUCGAGCGUCAUUUCACCACUCAAGCCUGGCUUGGUGUUGGGCGACGUCCCCUUUAGGGACGCGCCUCGAAACGCUCGGCGGCGCGGCACCGGCUUUAAGCGUAGCAGAAUCUUUCGCUUUGGAAGUCGGGGCCCCGCCUGCCGGAAUACCUACUUGUAAGGUUGACCUCGGAUCAGGCAGGGAUACCCGCUGAACUUAAGCAUAUCAAUAAGCGGAGGA